CCGCUCACAGGGAAAUCAUUCUUCUUCCUCCUGAAUGAGAAAUUCUGGUGAUACCAAACAUGCACACUGCCCCCCUACUGCCACACGCCACUCAUCCCCGUCAACUCGGCUCCUGCGCAGCACGCAUUGCUAUCUGCCACCCUCCUCUCCUCUCACUGCACAAUCAAGACAACGCACAAAGCUACCUUUUGGUCCGGCAUGACUUCCCCUCUGUCCAUCCACCUGGACUGCUCCUUGCAAAUUCCUUCUCUUCCGGUCACAUGGCAAUGACACCUGCAACAAGCUGUUACGUCACCUCCCCAGGAACAGAGGUGAGGCCAACCUACCUCCAAGUUGCACACGCCAUCCUCCACACCCUUUCUGAAGGCUGCGGUGGCAUCCGCCACCCUCCAGUCUUCAGGUACCUUUCCCCACAGGAAACAGCAGGGAAAAGUGACAGAGAGCACCAUUUGCCGGUCACCGCUGCCAGCUCUCAGCGGGCACAGGCAUAGCCCUCUACAGCUCAGGCAUUUGCUGGCCUCCUUUCUGCCUGAACCACUUUUGACCAGCUCCUCUGCAACUGAGGGGAAGGCAACCUUCCUCUGAGACUCUCUCCUCCAGGACCCCAGGAGCACUCUCAGCAGAAACCACUGAAACCAAAACAGGCAUCCAGCAUGUCCUCCAUCCUCCACAACUCAGGCCCUUGCCUUGUGAAGCACAGGCCUGCAAUUUCUCCAGUCUCUCCUGUUGACAAACUUCCAUUAGCCUUGACCUCCCUCCCAAAGCUGAUACUCAGAGGGACUUGGCCUUCCUCAGCCUCUCUCUUCCUUCUCCCCUUCAAGUUCCUCAGUCAGCCCUGCAGGUCCCCCACCAUUCCUGCGCACUUCCUUCCUCCUUGGGACGCAGCGCACCUCAGCAUGGACGAAGUAAUGCUCCAGCAUUCACAGGACCCCUUCCUAUGCUUGAGCAAGGGUUACCUCCAAGUAGGCCCUUCAAGAGGACAAACCUGGCUCCCUCCAAGUCCAGUGUUACAAUCCUACUCAUUGCUUUGCAGCUUCCACACAAGAUCCCAAACGCUGCGGUCUCACGACUGGCACGCUCCAGGCUGCCCCUGGCCUUCCUGUCCCCAGAUGGCUCUUCUGCAAUAGGGAGCUCCAGCAGCCCCUCUCCUCAAUGCCUCCUUCGUCACCUGUGUCAGAAGAUCUUACCUUUGACACAUUGCAGGAAACUCCUGGAGCCUACCAUGAGAACUGGCCUCACAGCUGUGGGCACCAUUUCCAGCUGUGUGCAGAAGGUCUAUCAGCUUCCUCACCCUGGUCUGUGACCAACACCACCACUCAGGUCACCCACUUUUACCUGCCUCUUCAGCCUCACGCACAAACGCUCCGCUGGUUCUUCAGUCAUCCCUAGGUGGAGCUCGAUACGUUCCCGUUCUCUCCCUCGAAAAGAGACUCCACCGCCUGGCCGGUCUGCCUUUCCUAAAAGGAACAGAGCCAUCCACGACAGCACUUCAGUCGUGCGAGCUGCCCUGCCAGGUCUCCACGGUGGGAACCUAAAUCGUGCUCCUGCAGUUACACGGGAAGGAAGAGGCGGGGAAAAAAAAAAAUAAAACCACGGUCCCAACCUGCUCGCUCCCACCGCUGGAAACGGGAUGGGUGAGAGCACCCGCAAAACACUCCGCAGUGGCCGAGGCCACCCCGGGAUCGUGCUCGGUCUCGGGCGGAGGCCCCGUGCCGGUCCUACUAAAAAGCCACGCGGGAGCCCCCAGCGGCGGCGCCGUGCCGAUCCCAAAGACACGGAGGCAGUCGGGCAGCAACCCUACAGGAGCCCCAGCAGGGGAGAUCUUACCGAGCGACUCUCAAACACUCCCCGCUUCCACGAGCUCACUGCUUCGGGCCGAUGAGAGGCUCUGCUACAGCCCUCGCUCAGCCUGCAACACGAGAAACCUUCUGUUUCAGCAGCCCUUGGCCUCGCUUCUCUCUCCCGGCAGCACAGAGGCUGCACGAAUACGGCCCCAUCGCGUUCGCUCCUACCGAGGAGAGCCUGAAGAACUGAAGCACCCGCUGAAAGAAAUCCCGAGGGUGAGGGGGGCUGAGAGCACCCCGGGGCUGUGCGAGGACUCGGGGGUCGGAGCGGCAGCCGCCUCCGAAAACGCGACGGCAGCCGGGCGGCGGCGGCGGCGCCGUAUCGGCUCCGCACAGCCGGGGGAGCCCGGCGG
ensembl:lncRNA